rnacentral:rRNA from 1 species
UUUCAGUUUGCUUGCAAACUGGAGAUGGCGACCGGCGCACGGGUGAGUAACACGUAUCCAACCUGCCGAUAACUCGGGGAUAGCCUUUCGAAAGAAAGAUUAAUACCCGAUGGUAUAAUNANACCGCAUGGUCUUGUUAUUAAAGAAUUUCGGUUAUCGAUGGGGAUGCGUUCCAUUAGGCAGUUGGUGAGGUAACGGCUCACCAAACCUUCGAUGGAUAGGGGUUCUGAGAGGAAGGUCCCCCACAUUGGAACUGAGACACGGUCCAAACNNNNNNGGGAGGCAGCAGUGAGGAAUAUUGGUCAAUGGGCGCAGGCCUGAACCAGCCAAGUAGCGUGAAGGAUGACUGCCCUAUGGGUUGUAAACUUCUUUUAUAUGGGAAUAAAGUUUUCCACGUGUGGAAUUUUGUAUGUACCAUAUGAAUAAGGAUCGGCUAACUCCGUGCCAGCAGCCGCGGUAAUACGGAGGAUCCGAGCGUUAUCCGGAUUUAUUGGGUUUAAAGGGAGCGUAGGUGGACAGUUAAGUCAGUUGUGAAAGUUUGCGGCUCAACCGUAAAAUUGCAGUUGAUACUGGCUGUCUUGAGUACAGUAGAGGUGGGCGGAAUUCGUGGUGUAGCGGUGAAAUGCUUAGAUAUCACGAAGAACUCCGAUUGCGAAGGCAGCUCACUGGACUGCAACUGACACUGAUGCUCGAAAGUGUGGGUAUCAAACAGGAUUAGAUACCCUGGUAGUCCACACAGUAAACGAUGAAUACUCGCUGUUUGCGAUAUACAGUAAGCGGCCAAGCGAAAGCAUUAAGUAUUCCACCUGGGGAGUACGCCGGCAACGGUGAAACUCAAAGGAAUUGACGGGGGCCCGCACAAGCGGAGGAACAUGUGGUUUAAUUCGAUGAUACGCGAGGAACCUUACCCGGGCUUAAAUUGCAUUUGAAUAUAUUGGAAACAGUAUAGCCGUAAGGCAAAUGUGAAGGUGCUGCAUGGUUGUCGUCAGCUCGUGCCGUGAGGUGUCGGCUUAAGUGCCAUAACGAGCGCAACCCUUAUCUUUAGUUACUAACAGGUCAUGCUGAGGACUCUAGAGAGACUGCCGUCGUAAGAUGUGAGGAAGGUGGGGAUGACGUCAAAUCAGCACGGCCCUUACGUCCGGGGCUACACACGUGUUACAAUGGGGGGUACAGAAGGCAGCUACCUGGUGACAGGAUGCUAAUCCCAAAAGCCUCUCUCAGUUCGGAUCGAAGUCUGCAACCCGACUUCGUGAAGCUGGAUUCGCUAGUAAUCGCGCAUCAGCCAUGGCGCGGUGAAUACGUUCCCGGGCCUUGUACACACCGCCCGUCAAGCCAUGAAAGCCGGGGGUACCUGAAGUACGUAACCGCAA